rnacentral:rRNA from 1 species
GGGAGGCAGCAGUAGGGAAUCUUCCGCAAUGGGCGAAAGCCUGACGGAGCAACGCCGCGUGAGUGAUGAAGGUCUUCGGAUCGUAAAACUCUGUUAUUAGGGAAGAACAUAUGUGUAAGUAACUGUGCACAUCUUGACGGUACCUAGUCAGAAAGCCACGGCUAACUACGUGCCAGCAGCCGCGGUAAUACGUAGGUGGCAAGCGUUAUCCGGAAUUAUUGGGCGUAAAGCGCGCGUAGGCGGUUUUUUAAGUCUGAUGUGAAAGCCCACGGCUCAACCGUGGAGGGUCAUUG